GCGAGGCGAUUAGGGAGGCAGUGAAAGAGGGGAUGGUUUUUAGGGAAGGCGACCGCAGGGGUACUUCCGUCCGUGCGUCGGACAUCUGUGUAGUAGCGGUGGCGAGGAGGCGAGGCGGCCGGCAGGUCCGGGUGCGGUACGGAAGAGGGGUGCGCCGUAGCGGAGGUAGCCGGGAGGUGCGGGGUGAAGGGAACAGCCUCCAGGGAGGUAGAAAAGUGAAGGAGCCAGCUCUACGGCGGCGGGUUGGUGGCGUAGAGUGGGCGCCCGGAGAAGCCGCGGGGACUGGGCGGCGGGAGGGUCACGAGGGAGUGUGGAGAGGGAAGAGCCACGGGUGUUCGGCAGGAGGACCGCGAGGGGUGAGGUAGGGUGUUUCUGUUUUAGCUCUGCCGCCGUCCACGGGCGUAGCGGCCGAGCGGCGUGAAGCGACCGGUUGUUGGCAGCGCCCGCAAGGGACUAGGGAAGCUCGUCGUCGUCGUUACCCGCGGGUUAGGGGAGGUACGCAGGCACGAGAGGCGGACCCUCAACGAGACAACGGUCCAAGUCCUUCUCGAUAAAACACGUGUACUCAACGAUAACCGUCACCUGUUUAAUAGAUACGUCUCUCGAAUCUCUUUUUUUUACAUUGGAGGGUUCAUCUGAUAGAGACCGUCUCCUUUUGAAGGUGGCUUAGCUGUACUUCGAGGUAUGGGUACACCCACGAGCCCGCCACCGCUACUGACGCGGCCGCGGUUGUACGGUAGGGAAUCGGACGAAACGAACUACGGUCGGAGCGGCGGACGCAGCCUCUCCGUUGACAUCCAGUCCUACGAGGCCCUCUAGUGGUGCGAACCCGUUCUACUCGCAGUGUAGGACCAGGUCGUUCCUCCUAGUAUACACAUGGUUCUGGCCUCUUCUCGCGGCCGUUUCUUAUGCUCCGCUUCCUCCUCAAACUUCGAGCUCAACGCCGUACUCGUCUCAGGUUCUUCACAUUUGAACGUAGUUCAGUGCUUGUUUUAGAGGUGCAUAAAAGAAGACUUAGAACACAACAAAACCAGUACUACCUAGUCUAUAGUUUCCUUCCUCCACUGCUAUGUCCUCACCCUCUUGACGGUCUUUAGGUUUAAGCUUCGGUUCUACUUACGUCUCGAGUCGUAGGUACUUGAACAACGUGGCAGGUCUAUUCUGACUUUGUUUAGAGUCGACCAACAUUAACACGUUUAAAAUAAAGUCCACGUCCGGCUCUUCCGCCCCCACUUCUUGUUGAAGUGGUUCUCCGAAGGGUGUAACUCCGUGUUCCACCUCCCCUUCGUUCACUCCCAGCUCCACUCUGCCCUGGUCGUCCGUCAGACCAACCGCGCUGUCCACCUCGCGUAGACCUUCUGGCCUGUGCACGGCAGGGCCAAGGUCACAACGUUGACCAAGGACACGACUUUUGGUUUGUUUAAAGUCUAACGCAGACUUUACGUUAGAGUGACUUCUUCGAACUUACAGAGCUACGUUCGGCACCCUGUUCUACGUGUACGUUAAUAAACUUAGCCACACGACGUCUACAACCAAACGACACAUCAGACAUGUUAGACUUACCGAUACUGGACUCGAUGUCAUCGUGCAAUGGUAACUAUUGUACUCCAUUACGAUUACCAGACCACCGAUUACAUCACUCUAGAACUUUAGUAGGAAAGAAAUUUGAAUCACCAUUACCAUCUUUUUAUUUUUUAUACCGUAAAAUAGAUCCUUUCUAUAUAUAGCCAACGAGUCAAGGUCCUACCUUAGACCGAACGAACGACGAAACGGUAUUCGGUAAAAACAAACGC
rnacentral:rRNA from 1 species